rnacentral:rRNA from 1 species
UACAGAGGUCCCAAGCGUUGUUCGGAUUUACUGGGCGUAAAGGGUGCGUAGGCGGUCGGGUAAGUCUGACGUGAAAUCUUCAAGCUUAACUUGGAAACUGCGUCGGAUACUAUUCGGCUCGAGGAAUGGAGGGGAGACUGGAAUACUUGGUGUAGCAGUGAAAUGCGUAGAUAUCAAGUGGAACACCAGUGGCGAAGGCGAGUCUCUGGACAUUUCCUGACGCUGAGGCACGAAAGCCAGGGGAGCAAACGGG